rnacentral:tRNA from 1 species
GCAGUGAUAGCUCAGUUGGUAGAGCGAUGGUUUGAAACGCCAUGCGUCACAGGUUCGAUUCCUGUCCACUGCACCA